rnacentral:rRNA from 1 species
CUCCAGUUGANCGCAUGGUCCUCUGGGAAAGAUUCAUCGGUAUGGGAUGGGGUCGCGUCCUAUCAGCUUGAUGGCGGGGUAACGGCCCACCAUGGCUUCGACGGGUAGCCGGCCUGAGAGGGCGACCGGNCACAUUGGGACUGAGAUACGGCCCAGACUCCUACGGGAGGCAGCAGUGGGGAAUAUUGCACAAUGGGCGCAAGCCUGAUAGCAGCGACGCCGCGUGCGGGAUGACGGCCUUCGGGUUGUAAACCGCUUUUGACUGGGAGCAAGCNCUUCGGGGUGAGUGUACCUUUCNAAUAAGCACCGGCUAACUACGUGCNNAGCAGCCGCGGUAAUACGUAGGGUGCAAGCGUUAUCCGGAAUUAUUGGGCGUAAAGGGCUCGUAGGCGGUUCGUCGCGUCCGGUGUGAAAGUCCAUCGCUUAANGGUGGAUCNGCGCCGGGUACGGGCGGGCUUGAGUGCGGUAGGGGAGACUGGAA